rnacentral:lncRNA from 1 species
UGACCGAAGAGAGUCUAUCUAAAAGCCUGAGCCAAGACUUGCCAUAGCCUGAAAGAACUGCACCCUUCACCUCAUCUUUGAACUUUAAUCACAUUAAUUUUAUUACUUCUGCUAACUUCCACUCAUGGGAAAUGGACUUGUAUGUUUUCUAUUAUUUUAAAACCAAGUAAGAGACACAGUGUCUGUAUACACAUGGUGAUAGAAUGUGUAAAAGCCUGACUAGGAUCCACCCUUUUCCUAAUGUUUCCACCUGAAUGUUCAAUAGCAACGUCCUCUGUGAACGUAACUACCCUAACUCACAUCUGGGUUAAUUCUUCUUUUCCAUCUUCCUUCCUAUGGGUAUCAUUGUCUUGAGUUUUCAUGAAACUAGAUUUUCAGACAACAAAUAACUCUAUCUAGAAAAGACAAUUAAAAAAGAUGUCCUUAAAAUGAAUUCCUAAAUCUGAUUAAAUCUAUUACCAACCCAAUUGGUGUCUGCAGCCCAAAUUCAAGGUAAUAGAAUUAAUAAUUGGUCUACCUUUACAUUCAUGACCGCUAGUUUCAAAUUACCCCUCAAGUCUACCCAAAAGUACUCCUCUUCAAAAUCAUUAUUUUACAUUUCUUCAUCUCUCUCCAAAUGCCCAAGACCUCCUUAGCUUGCUCCUUGAAUCCCUUUUGAGACUCAUAGGACAGUGGAUUUCUCCAUAUUGGAGGAUGACUAUAUAUCCUAACACAGUAAAGAUAUAUUAGCAUCAUUUGAUGAACAAGGGAAAAUGUUUAACCUCUUAAUAUAAUGCACUAAGAAGAGUAUAUUACUUAUGUGGCAUUCUUGCUACAAAUGGCAAAUCCUCAACCAUUUACAGAGAUGGGCUACAAGCUAGACAUUCUUUAGGGGCUUGUUAUUUAUAAUCUUAUUUACUUAGAAUGACCUUGUUUUUUCUUUCCAAGACUUGAUGACAUUUGGAUCUCUAGAAGUAGGGAGGAGAGCAGAGAAGUUCCAACAAUCUGGGUUUGAUUCGUGGCUCUGUUUCAGCCUAGCUGUUUGUCCUCAGAUAAGCCAUUCAACUUCUCAGAAGCUCAUUUUCCUCU